rnacentral:rRNA from 1 species
ACUCCUACGGGAGGCAGCAGUGGGGAAUAUUGCACAAUGGGCGCAAGCCUGAUGCAGCAACGCCGCGUGAGGGACGACGGCCUUCGGGUUGUAAACCUCUUUUAGUAGGGAAGAAGCGAAAGUGACGGUACCUGCAGAAAAAGCACCGGCUAACUACGUGCCAGCAGCCGCGGUAAUACGUAGGGUGCAAGCGUUAUCCGGAAUUAUUGGGCGUAAAGAGCUCGUAGGCGGUUUGUCGCGUCUGCUGUGAAAACUGGAGGCUCAACCUCCAGCCUGCAGUGGGUACGGGCAGACUAGAGUGCGGUAGGGGAGAUUGGAAUUCCUGGUGUAGCGGUGGAAUGCGCAGAUAUCAGGAGGAACACCGAUGGCGAAGGCAGAUCUCUGGGCCGUAACUGACGCUGAGGAGCGAAAGCAUGGGGAGCGAACAGGAUUAGAUACCCUGGUAGUCCAUGCCGUAAACGUUGGGAGCUAGAUGUAGGGACCAUUCCACGGUUUCUGUGUCGCAGCUAACGCAUUAAGUUCCCCGCCUGGGGAGUACGGCCGCAAGGCUAAAACUCAAAGGAAUUGACGGGGGUCCGCACAAGCGGCGGAGCAUGCGGAUUAAUUCGAUGCAACGCGAAGAACCUUACCAAGGCUUGACAUAUACCGGAAAAGUUCAGAAAUGUUCUCCCCGCAAGGUCGGUAUACAGGUGGUGCAUGGUUGUCGUCAGCUCGUGUCGUGAGAUGUCGGGUUAAGUCCCGCAACGAGCGCAGCCCUCGUUCUAUGUUGCCAGCACGUAAUGGUGGGAACUCAUAGGAGACUGCCGGGGUCAACUCGGA